rnacentral:rRNA from 1 species
CAGGCCUAAUACAUGCAAGUCGAACGGGAUUUGGGUAGCAAUACCUAAUGAGAGUGGCGCACGGGUGAGUAACGCGUAUGCAACCUACCUCUUACAGGGGGAUAGCCCGGAGAAAUCCGGAUUAAUAUCCCAUGGUAUUUAUUGUCCGCAUGGAUAGUAAAUUAAAGAUUUAUCGGUAAGAGAUGGGCAUGCGUGACAUUAGUUUGUUGGUGAGGUAACGGCUCACCAAGACUACGAUGUCUAGGGGUUCUGAGAGGAUGAUCCCCCACACUGGUACUGAGACACGGACCAGACUCCUACGGGAGGCAGCAGUGAGGAAUAUUGGUCAAUGGGCGCAAGCCUGAACCAGCCAUCCCGCGUGAAGGAAGACGGCCCUAUGGGUUGUAAACUUCUUUUCUGCACCAAGAAUGGGCCUUACGUGUAAGGUUUUGACGGUAGUGCAGGAAUAAGCAUCGGCUAACUCCGUGCCAGCAGCCGCGGUAAUACGGAGGAUGCAAGCGUUAUCCGGAUUCAUUGGGUUUAAAGGGUGCGUAGGCGGAUAGGUAAGUCAGUGGUGAAAUCCUACAGCUCAACUGUAGAACUGCCAUUGAUACUGUCUAUCUUGAGUGUAAAUGAAGUGGGCGGAAUGUAGCAUGUAGCGGUGAAAUGCAUAGAUAUGCUACAGAACACCAAUUGCGAAGGCAGCUCACUAACAUACAACUGACGCUCAUGCACGAAAGCGUGGGGAUCAAACAGGAUUAGAUACCCUGGUAGUCCACGCUGUAAACGAUGAUUACUCGUUGUUGGCGAUACACAGUCAGCGACCAAGCGAAAGUGAUAAGUAAUCCACCUGGGGAGUACGAUCGCAAGGUUGAAACUCAAAGGAAUUGACGGGGGCCCGCACAAGCGGUGGAGCAUGUGGUUUAAUUCGAUGAUACGCGAGGAACCUUACCUGGGCUCAAAUGUAUGUUGACGUAGUGUGAAAGCAUUAUUUCUUCGGACAUAUACAAGGUGCUGCAUGGUUGUCGUCAGCUCGUGCCGUGAGUGUCGGGUUAAGUCCCAUAACGAGCGCAACCCCUAUCAUUAGUUGCC